rnacentral:rRNA from 1 species
AUUGAACGCUGGCGGCAUGCUUUACACAUGCAAGUCGAACGGCAGCGCGGGGGCAACCCUGGCGGCGAGUGGCGAACGGGUGAGUAAUGUAUCGGAACGUAUCCUGUAAUGGGGGAUAACCAGUCGAAAGAUUGGGUAAUACCGCAUACGCACGAGAGUGGAAAGUAGGGGAUCGCAAGACCUUACGUUAUAGGAGCGGCCGAUAUCUGAUUAGCUAGUUGGUGGGGUAACGGCUCACCAAGGCUACGAUUGGUAGCCGAACUGAGAGGUUGAUCGGCCACAUUGGGACUGAGACACGGCCCAGACUCCUACGGGAGGCAGCAGUGGGGAAUAUUGGGCAAUGGGCGAAAGCCUGACCCAGCGACGCCGCGUGAAGGAUGAAGGUCUUCGGAUUGUAAACUUCUUUGAUCAGGGAAGAAAGAAAUGACGGUACCUGAAGAACAAGCCACGGCUAACUACGUG